rnacentral:rRNA from 1 species
UUAGACAAUGGGCGCAAGCCUGAUCUAGCCAUGCCGCGUGUGUGAUGAAGGUCUUAGGAUCGUAAAGCACUUUCGCCAGGGAUGAUAAUGACAGUACCUGGUAAAGAAACCCCGGCUAACUCCGUGCCAGCAGCCGCGGUAAUACGGAGGGGGUUAGCGUUGUUCGGAAUUACUGGGCGUAAAGCGUACGUAGGCGGAUCAGAAAGUAAGGGGUGAAAUCCCAGGGCUCAACCCUGGAACUGCCUCUUAAACUCCUGGUCUUGAGUUCGAGAGAGGUGAGUGGAAUUCCAAGUGUAGAGGUGAAAUUCGUAGAUAUUUGGAGGAACACCAGUGGCGAAGGCGGCUCACUGGCUCGAUACUGACGCUGAGGUACGAAAGUGUGGGGAGCAAACAGGAUUAGAUACCCUGGUAGUCCACACCGUAAACGAUGAAUGCCAGUCGUCGGGCAGUAUACUGUUCGGUGACACACCUAACGGAUAAGCA